ensembl:lncRNA
CAUUUUCCUUGGCAGGGAGUUGAGGGAAUGUUUCCAGCUAGGUUAUGAUAUCUUCAUCGUGCACUGUUAUCAAGGCUUGCAUUUCCUGGUGUCAAGCCACAGAGCUGGAGAUACGCUGCUCUUUCUGCACCAGGGCUAUCCAGAGUUGUAUGCUACGUAUGUGCUGCUCCACAAAGCCCUUUGUUAUUGCUGCAGUCUUCUCCACUGGCUUUCAAAAUAUUCUCCAAACAGAGCAGCUUCAUUUUAGCAAGAAGCAGGACAUAAUGAAUGAUCUAGUCUGGGCUGUACCCCAAGCCUGACACUGCUACCUGCUCUGCAUAGUGUGGUGACUCCUCAGCCAUGGCUCGCCGUGCACACGGGAGGUGAGGAGAGCAGCUGCAGAGCUAGAAACACAGCCAGGAUUUACAUGGUGAAUGAUGUUCUAUGCCUCGCUUCCUCUACCCAGCUCUUCUGCAGUUCUUGUGCUGAACUGGAGCAUGAACCUCUGACAAAUGGGACAGUGUCACCCUUCAUCUGCAAAUGAACAACUGUAUUUGGUGGGUUUUUUUUUACUAGUCUUUAGAAAAUGGUGCAAGAAACUAGAAGAAGAUCUGCAUACUGAGGAAAUAAUAGUAUAUGGUUUCCAAAUG